AAUGAUAAUAAUAACAGUGACUUCCACAGAUGUUGAUCACCAACUGUGGGCCAGGCCCUUUCACACUUUUCUUAUGUUAUCUUAUUUGGUCCUCACAACAAUCCGUUUUAUCAAUGAGGAAACUAAGACUGAGAAGUUAAAUACAUUCUCAAGGUCACAUGACUAGCUAGUGGUGGAUCCGGGAAACCACGUCUGUCUGACAUCUACGUCCAUUCUCUGGCCACUUUGCCAACUCACCUUCAAGGGUCAACGGUGAUAUUAUCAUAAACAAUUUCAGCAGGGAAUGAAGACAGAAGCCAGAUUGCAGUGGCUUUGAAAGAGAGGAAGUGGGAAAGGGGAAAAACACUUUAUCAACAACUUUGACUUUGAAGGAGAAAAGAGACAUAAAAUGAAAACCAGAAGCCUAAAGACAGCAGCAUGACCCAAAAACUUCCUGGUCUCUCCACCGUGGACAAUCAGGCCACUGGAAAGGGAGAUGAAACUGAAGGCCUCUGCCCUCUGAGAAGAUGAACAGAACUCACCAGAGCUGGAACAUGUAUAUGGUGGUGACUGAGCUUUGGCCAUGCAGGAGAUGGCAGGAGCAACAUAAAGUCCGCAGCCUGGUCCACUCUCAGCUGCAUGCACCGCACCCACCCCAGGUCUUUUGUUCAUAUUCAAGCAGAGGUGCCAAUGAAAACAAACCAGAGAUGUCUGCACAGAGUUCCUGCCCUAAGAAAAGCCCAGGGCAGAAAGGUGAGUGUGUCCAGUGUAAAGAGUCUCAGAGCUCCUAAUGACUCCAGCCCAGAACUGCAGCAGAAGUUGCCAAGUGAGACCAUCACUGGGGCGAAGCUGAUGGGGCUCCUGAACAAGUCUGUGGAAGAUACAGAGUGGAAUGUACCCCAGGGAGGACUGGACCGGUAUGGCACAUGGAGUAACGAAGAUCAGCAUCGCUGACCAGAAUCUAUGCCCAUUAUGAGCGAGCAGGGGGAAGGCGGCCUGCAUGCUGCCCAGGGUGAGUGAGAACUGACCUGGUGGGACACAAGGCCACCUGGGCCCAGAAGAAACAGCAGAGACCUAAGUAUUUGGUCCUUUUGUCCCCAAAGAUUGAGGGGCCUCAGGGACAGUUUGGGAGAAAAAUUUAAUGCUGAGCUGGACUCACAGCUCCAUUCUUGGGCACCAUUUUGUUGCCUGUCCUGACUUAGCCAAAUGGACAUUUAACACUUGUCAAAAAUAUCCCUUCAGAACACUCACUCUGAGUUGCCUGCUAAUUCCAUGAAGUCAUUUGUGGUUCUUCCAUGAUAAU
rnacentral:lncRNA from 1 species